rnacentral:rRNA from 1 species
CGAACGGAUUUAAGGGGCUUGCUCUUUAAGUUAGUGGCGAACGGGUGAGUAAUAUAUCGGAACGUACCGUGUAAUGGGGGAUAACGUAGCGAAAGUUACGCUAAUACCGCAUACGCUCUUCGGAGGAAAGCAGGGGAUCUUCGGACCUUGCGUUAUACGAGCGGCCGAUAUCUGAUUAGCUAGUUGGUGAGGUAAAGGCUCACCAAGGCGACGAUCAGUAGCGGGUCUGAGAGGAUGAUCCGCCACACUGGGACUGAGACACGGCCCAGACUCCUACGGGAGGCAGCAGUGGGGAAUUUUGGACAAUGGGCGAAAGCCUGAUCCAGCCAUUCCGCGUGAGUGAAGAAGGCCUUCGGGUUGUAAAGCUCUUUUGUCAGGGAGGAAAUCCCUAAGGCUAAUACCCUUGGGGGAUGACAGUACCUGAAGAAUAAGCACCGGCUAACUACGUGCCAGCAGCCGCGGUAAUACGUAGGGUGCAAGCGUUAAUCGGAAUUACUGGGCGUAAAGCGUGCGCAGGCGGUUUCGUAAGCUUGAUGUGAAAUCCCCGGGCUCAACCUGGGAACUGCAUUGAGGACUGCGAGGCUAGAAUACGGCAGAGGGGGGUGGAAUUCCACGUGUAGCAGUGAAAUGCGUAGAGAUGUGGAGGAACACCGAUGGCGAAGGCAGCCCCCUGGGCCUGUAUUGACGCUCAUGCACGAAA